rnacentral:lncRNA from 1 species
UCCAAUCUUUUUAUCCAAAGUGACAUAAGCUCUUUGCAUCAGGCUGAAACAAUGUAAACAUUAUAUAUAAUUAGAUAAACAUAUAUUGAUACACAUAUAUCUUCGUACAUCUUGAUAAAAAAAUUAAAAUUCAAUUCAUUUCGAAAGCAAAUCAUAUAACGCUUUGAUAUUACAAAUAAUUGUAAGAUAAUGGAUGAAACAAAUUUACUUUGAUGUUCUCUCAUACACACUAAUAAAGUGAAUAAUAACAACUUUAUGAUUAUUUCUACGUAAGUUUAAACUAGGUUUAUAUUUUCCAAAAUCAUAUAAUGAUGCUCAUUCUAUUUAACAUGUUGGUUCAAGUAUUUCUCACUUCUCUUAAUCUAUAAGUUAGACUUUCCUCUUUGACCUUAGUUUUUUCUUUCAUUUACCAAAAACUAGUUAUAACUUCGACAAUCUAUCGUAUUGAAUAAGAAAAUACAUAAUUUUGAAGUUAUAUUGAUAUCAAUCACAAUCUAAUAUGAAAAAUUGUCCUUUAAUUUGUAUAUAUUGUCAGAUCCAAUCAAGAAUAAAAUGAUUACAUGAUUCAUAGCUAAACAAAAAUAAAAUUAAGAUUUACCUUAUAUCAAUCAAAAAUUGGGUGCGGAUGACUUUACGAUGUAGUGAGAAUUCAAACAAAUCCUGAAAUAUGUAAAACCAUUGAUUAAUUAAGUUUAACAACUUGCAAAAUAUAAAAUGAUCAAAUAAUAAUAUGAAUUUUAAAUUCUAGUAUGAAUCAUCAAACUCAUGUAGCAAAAUAUUACCUUUGUAUUCAAAUAAUUAAUUAUUAUUCAUCUAUUCCACUUUGCAAAGCCUAUAAUGAAAAAAAUAAUUAGCAAAAGCACAUAUACAAAAGAUGAACCAAAAAAAGAUGUAAAGAAGAGUGAAAGGCAAAAGGAGAGAGGAGAGGGGAAGGUGUAUGUU